AGAUUACGCUAGGGGUGCACAUCGCUGAGACUUUACCCUCAUUACUUGAACCGGAUAAUACCGGCGUAAGGAAGCAAUAUGGGAAUAAU
rnacentral:ncRNA from 2 species